rnacentral:rRNA from 1 species
UCGAGAAUCUUCGGCAAUGGACGAAAGUCUGACCGAGCGAUGCCGCGUGCGGGAUGAAGGCCUUCGGGUUGUAAACCGCUGUCAGUUGGGAGGAAGGGCUCGUGAAGAGCGAGUCUUGACCUAUCUUCAGAGGAAGUCCGGGCUAAGUUCGUGCCAGCAGCCGCGGUAACACGAACCGGACGAACGUUAUUCGGAAUUAUUGGGCUUAAAGGGUGCGUAGGCGGUCAUGUAGGUGGGGUGUGAAAUCCCUCGGCUCAACCGAGGAACUGCGCUCCAAACCCCGUGACUAGAGGGAGACAGAGGUAAGCGGAACUGAUGGUGGAGCGGUGAAAUGCGUUGAUAUCAUCAGGAACACCGGUGGCGAAAGCGGCUUACUGGGUCUCUUCUGACGCUGAGGCACGAAAGCUAGGGUAGCGAACGGGAUUAGAUACCCCCGUAGUCC